rnacentral:misc_RNA from 1 species
UCCGGUUUGUCACCGGCAGUCUCCUUAGAGUGCCCAACUGAAUGCUGGCAACUAAGGACAAGGGUUGCGCUCGUUGCGGGACUUAACCCAACAUCUCACGACACGAGCUGACGACAGCCAUGCACCACCUGCGCAUAAGUCCCUUGCGGGAGGUUCUGGCUUUCACCAAAAUUUCCUAUGCAUGUCAAACCCAGGUAAGGUUCUUCGCGUUGCCUCGAAUUAAACCACACGCUCCGCUGCUUGUGCGGGCCCCCGCCUAUUCCUUUGAGUUUUAACCUUGCGGCCGUAGUCCCCAGGCGGUGAACUUAAUGCGUUAGCUGCGGCACGAAUCAAAUGAAUGACUCACACCAAGUAUGCAUCGUUUAGGGCGUGGACUAC